UCAACUAAUUUGAUUAUAGAAAUAUAGAAAGCCAAGUUUGGGAAUUGGGUGCAUAAAAUAUACUCCUUAUUAAACACAUAAAAAAAAAUUAUAUUUUUUUGUGUAACUUAUUAUGUAGUUAUAGUAUACUGACUGAGCAUUUUGAUUUAUAUAUCGACUCCUCAGCCAAAAGAAUACAUAAAGUUGACCAAAAAUUACAAAAUAAAGCCAUUGCGGGCGAAAUCGAUGCACUGACUAGGGUCCGUGAAAUUCUAACCCUAGGUCCACACCAGGCGAUUCCAUGCAAGUAUGCAACCACACCAAGAAGUUGAUUUCAGAAGCCAUCACAGUAAGGUACCAACGGAUGAUUUGGAGGCUUCGGGAGUUGCUGAGUUUUUUUUUGGAGACAAUCUUAGUACGUACAUGAAUUAUUUGAGGAAUUUGAUGUAUUGAGGCUUGAACCAGAAUCCAGACGGUUCAUUAAAUACCCUUAUUGGCACUUGCUUAAAAGAGUUCAUGCUUUAAGAACUUUCCCAGAUGGAAGCAUGAGGUCUCAAUCAGUGCGUAUGUAUAUUCGAGGGAGAGGAAAGAUUGGGUACCUGAUUGGUGAUACAAAGGCACCUGAUUUGAAGGAUACGACUUAUGCCACUUGGGAUGCAGAAAAUUCCAUAAUUAUGACCUGGCUUGUUAAUUCCAUGGAUGAAGACAUCGCCUCUAACUAUAUGUGCUAUCCACUUUCACCAGAUGUAUUCUGACCUCGGCAAUCAAUCCUAGGUGUACGAACUGCAACUACAACUCGGAGAAAUUCAACAAGGGGGAGACAACGUCACCAAAUACUUCAAUAUGUUGAAAAGGCUGUGACAGGAUCUGGAUAUUUUCAAUGACUAUGAAUGGAAAUCUCCAUAUAAUUGCAAUCACCACAAGAAGACAGUGGAAAACGAUCGCAUCUACAAAUUUCUUGCUAGUUUAAAUGUAGAAUGGUGGGUCGUCACGGCACCAACGUUUAAAAGUGCACUAAGAAUGUGAGUGUGCAAUGUGGCCAAGUUUUAAAUUUAUAAAAGCUACUACUACCUCUAACUAAAAAUAUAGUUAGGGUGAGUAGGGAUCAUCCCAAGGGAUUGUGGGUGUGUUUGCAAUGGAAACAAUGUAUAGGGUUAGUAGGUCAGGUGAUCAAAAGAUGGUUUAUUUGGUUGAUUAAACUACAAUGCAAUUGAAAUUAAAGCAAGUAAAAGGUAACAAUUUAGAAUUUAGGUAACAGAUAUAGCGGAGAGGACUAGAGCUCACCACUAAGCUUGACUUCACUAGACACUAGCAAUUGUAUAUCAAUGGGGAAAUUGAAUUGUAACUUGUGUGUGUGUGACAUUAAUUGAAACUAGGCAUGGAUGGCAAAUAAGUAUAGAUUGUCUAGCCAAUUCAAAUGGAAAGCACAACCUAUCAAAUGAGACCAAAAUCCAUUCAAUGAAACCACAAUUUAUGCACACACAACUAUCUAGAAGCAUACACCAUUUGCAUUCAUAAGUAUGGAACACCAAGGAACAAGAAUAGAUUGUCCACCUAUCUAUGAAUCUAAAACAACUACACUACAUCUACACUAAUGACAUGGAAAUUAAACUAAGUGAGCUAAAGGUGUGGCACAAUCCAUCAAGAAACAAGUGUGAACCAUCAAAUAAAUUACAAAAGUGUUCAAUUAAGCACUAUGUUUUGACCAUCUCUAGAUUAACUUCAUCCAUACACAUAGACAUGCAUAAACUCCACUAAAUCUAGAGAAAAACACAUGAAUCAUCCAUUCUAGCAUACAUAGACAUAUGGUUAGAAAUAGAUAAUCAAUUGAAAGCAUUAAUCCAUACACAUCAAGUGAAAACUACAAGAUAUAUAUAUAAAUCCAAGAUCAAAACAUUUAUUGCAAGCAAAUCCCCAAAAAUAUACAAAACACUAGUUCUAGGAAGCAAACUUAGGGGCUACUCUAGCCCCAAGUGGAUGUCUAGCCACUCAUUGAAGUAGUCAUCCAACCCUUAAGGGCUAUCUCCAUGGUAGGAGUGACCUCUUUCUUGAUGGAAACCCUAGAAGAAUGGAAGAACUCCCAAAGAUAUGUAAAAGCUCUCUAGUCUCUAGCCUCUAGCCUCCUCUCCAAGAUAUGAUAUAUGAUAUGUGUUAUGAAGAUAUGUUCAAUCUUUCUCUUAAAAUGGCUCUAAAUCCUUAUAUAGGAGGCUCAAAUGUCACACCCAAUGGUCUGGAUUCGUGCACUAGGGUCCUUGCAAUGAUUGCACCAUGAGCCAACUUUUAAUGAGCUAGAAUUUGUUUUAUUUCGGACUUGAGGAGGUUCGAUCAAUCGAACUGUGUUGAGAUCGAUCGAAUUGAGGUGAGAUCCAUCGAAUGAUGCAAAGAUCGAUCAUCCUUGGCGGCGCCUUUUUGAAUAAAGACAAAUCUCUGAGUUAUUUUGGGAUAUUUUGGAAAAGAGACAAGAGUGGUAGGUGGGGUGGUAGGUGUGGAUAAGAUCGAAUAAUUUCGAUCGAUCUGAGAAAGGUUGGAUCGAUCGAAGAUGGUGAGAUCUUUUGGAUAAGGACAAUUGCUUGGAUCCAUCUUGAUAUGUCUAGAUCGAUGUUACUCUGAUCGAUCGAAGGAAUGUUGAGAUCUAUCGAAUUUGCUGCUUUUCCACACUUUGCUUCCACUUUGCUCCUUUCUUCCAUUCAGCUUGAGAUUGCUUCUUUUAAGCUCUUAUUUGGCUGAAUUAACUUAUUUUUGGGAUAAGUACCUAAAAAGGGUAAUAACAUGAAAUUAGUCUAAGACGGGAAAAUAAGAUAGAUAAAGGUCCUAGAAUACCUAAGCUUAAGAGGUUUAAUUGCGCACUUUUCAGCGCUCAUUAUAGAAUUUGAUGAAGUAAGGGGAAGGAUCAUUGGUCGUGGUCCUCUUCCUUCACUUGGAGAGGUAUUUGCUGAAGUGCAGAGGGAGGAAAGCCGCCGUAGUGUUAUGCUCGGAAAAAAGGGGGCUAGGGCAUCGAUUGAAAAUUCUGCCCUAGUCGUUGCUGAUGCAAAUGCGAGUAGAACUUCCAAUAGCCAGCGCAGAGCCGAGGACAAGCCUCGGAUAUGGUGUGAUUUCUGCAACAAGCCCCGCCAUAAACAUGAGACAUGCUGGAAGAUUCAUGGCAAACCCGCCAAUUGGAAGAGCAACGAGCCUGGAGACCAAUCUGCUCGUGCAAAUGAGGCUGAUGCUGGUCCCUUCGGUAAAGAGUAGGUGGAUGAUCUUCUGAAGCUGCUGAAAUCCAAUCCAGAGUCUGGUAUUCCUUAUGUUUCUUUGGCUCAAACAGGACCUGAGCACGGGGAUGAUGUUUGGUAGUGCUAGAAUGGUGGACGGUCUUUACUAUUUUGAUGACAACUUCCUCGCUCGAAGGAGAAUCCAGGCUUCAUCGAAUUCUCACCGUUCAUGGGAAUGGGUGGCGUAGGGAAGGAGAGAUCAUUCUUCGAGCACUCACCCAAAAGGAAGCUUGAGUGGCUUGAUUGACUUCAGUUAUGGACGAGACGAAAUUUGUUAAAGCUUUGAGAAACGGAAAUUUGAUUGCGCUUUACAGAUGUAUAUUCUCCCAUUGCUUAUAGGUGCUAGUUGAAGAAGACGAUCGAGGGGCUCCGAGCUUUCUGUUUGAGUCCGUCGAGCUUGGUUUUCGAACUUUGACUGCUGUGUAGUCUUCCGAUGGUCACUUAUUGUUUCCGGUGUGAUCCAUUGGACCAGACGGUGGUUGGACAUCUUUAUUUUGAUGUCGAACAUUCUGCCUUCAUACUUUGUAUAAACGAUGUACCAUUUUCUGGUAGUGUAGAGGUCAUUGCAUAUUACUGUUCUGCUACAAUCUAGAAUCCACAAUUGGAUGCUGCCUUUGAGAUGGAGAAUGACUACUUUUAAGUGUUUUAUGAAUUAUGAGGUUGACCACAUGCUAGUGUAACUGCAUUUAUGGAGAUGGUUAAAAAACAUUGAUACACCAUGUAGUUAUUACCUGUGUUGUGUACUGUGUGUUGUCUUUUUCAAGGAGAAACUAAAGGAGACUGAUUACUGGGCU